rnacentral:tRNA from 1 species
AUUUUAUUAGUAUAAGUAAAGUACAUCUAAUUUCCAAUUAGAAAGUUUUCCAAAAAUAAAAUA